CUUUGCACACGCGGGAGCUCGGAGCACCGGGCUGAGAGGGCGCUGACCUCCGUACACGGGGUGGCCGGGACCGGCCGUACCGUCGCGGAAGCCGCUGCGCCGACCGCCGAACCUGGUACCGGGUAAUGCCGGCGUAGGGAGUAGGUCUCAUGACCGU
rnacentral:ncRNA from 1 species